rnacentral:hammerhead_ribozyme from 1 species
AUCUAGCUGACGAGUCCCAAAUAGGACGAAACGAGCGUCAAACCGGAU